UACAGAGACUGCAAGCGUUAUUCGGAUUCACUGGGCGUAAAGCGUGCGCAGGCGGUUGUGCAAGACAGAUGUGAAAUCCCCGGGCUUAACCUGGGAACUGCAUUUGUGACUGCACGGCUAGAGUGUGUCAGAGGGGGGUAGAAUUCCACGUGUAGCAGUGAAAUGCGUAGAUAUGUGGAGGAAUACCGAUGGCGAAGGCAGCCCCCUGGGAUAACACUGACGCUCAUGCACGAAAGCGUGGGGAGCAAACAGG
rnacentral:rRNA from 1 species